CAUGCAAGCGAUACUGCAGGGCCAGAAUCAGAAUCAUCAGCACGUAGCAACUGAUUGGAUUUCUGGAGCAAGAAAGAAGAGUUGAAGAUAAUGUUGAACUUUCUCAUUGGGAGAUUUUACUAACAUUAUUGAGCAAUUACUGCAUGAUGGAUGUUACGCUAAGAGCAUUCUACAAUUAUUAUACCUCUUACGUCUCCCAGUAGUUCUGUUAAGCACUGAAUACUGUGGAUACAAAGAGCCCAGAGUCAUCAAGAGGAACCAGGAACUCUAACAUGAUGUGUGGAGCAGGCUAUGCAAAGAGGGGUACCUCUCCCAGUCAGAGGCAUCAGAGAAGGCUUCCUGGUGGAG
rnacentral:lncRNA from 1 species